rnacentral:misc_RNA from 1 species
GAAAUGCGAUAAGUAAUGUGAAUUGCAGAAUUCAGUGAAUCAUCGAAUCUUUGAACGCACAUUGCGCCCGGCAGCAAUCUGCCGGGCAUGCCUGUCCGAGCGUCAUUUCUGCCCUCGAGCGCGGUUCGGCCCCUAGCGGGCCGGCCGCCGCCCGGUGUUGGGGCGCUGCGGGCCCUCGUGCCCGCAGGCCCUGAAAUGAAGUGGCGGUCCCGCCGCGGCGCCCCUUGCGUAGUAGUAAAGCACCUCGCAUUGGGUCCCAGCGGAGGCCAGCCGUCGAACCUCUCUUUUGAUGGUUUGACCUCGGAUCAGGUAGGGUUACCCGCUGAACUUAAGC